AACCGAUAUUGACGCUCAGGCACGAAAGCGUGGGGAGCGAACAGGAGUAGAUACCCUGGUAGUCCACGCCGUAAACUAUGAUCACUCGUUGUUGGCAAUACACAGUCAGUGACCAAGCGAAAGCGAUAAGUGAUCCACCUGGGGAGUACGAUCGCAAGGUUGAAACUCAAAGGAAUUGACGGGGGCCCGCACAAGCGGUGGAGCAUGUGGUUUAAUUCGAUGAUACGCGAGGAACCUUACCAAGGCUUAAAUGUAAAACGACUGGUUGAGAGAUCGACCUUUUUUCGAACGAUUUACAAGGUGCUGCAUGGUUGUCGUCAGCUCGUGCCGUGAGGUGUCGGGUUAAGUCCCAUAACGAGCGCAACCCCUACUCUUAGUUGCCAGCAUGUAAUGAUGGGGACUCUAGGAGAACUGCCUACGCAAGUAGAGAGGAAGGUGGGGAUGACGUCAAAUCAGCACGGCCCUUACGUCCAGGGCUACACACGUGCUACAAUGGCCGGUACAGAGGGCAGCUACCUGGUGACAGGAUGCAAAUCUCUAAAGCCGGUCUCAGUUCGGAUCGAAGUCUGCAACUCGACUUCGUGAAGUUGGAUUCGCUAGUAAUCGCGCAUCAGCCAUGGCGCGGUGAAUACGUUCCCGGGCCUUGUACACACCGCCCGUCAAGCCAUGGAAGCUGGGGGUACCUGAAGUCGGUGACCGUUAAGGAGCUGCCUAGGGUAAAACUGGUGACUGGGGCUAAGUCGUAACAAGGUAGCCGUACCGGAAGGUGCGGCUG
rnacentral:rRNA from 1 species